rnacentral:rRNA from 1 species
GAGAGUUUGAUCCUGGCUCAGGACGAACGCUGGCGGCGUGCCUAAUACAUGCAAGUCGAACGCUUCUUUUUCCACCGGAGCUUGCUCCACCGGAAAAAGAGGAGUGGCGAACGGGUGAGUAACACGUGGGUAACCUGCCCAUCAGAAGGGGAUAACACUUGGAAACAGGUGCUAAUACCGUAUAACAAUCGAAACCGCAUGGUUUUGAUUUGAAAGGCGCUUUCGGGUGUCGCUGAUGGAUGGACCCGCGGUGCAUUAGCUAGUUGGUGAGGUAACGGCUCACCAAGGCGACGAUGCAUAGCCGACCUGAGAGGGUGAUCGGCCACAUUGGGACUGAGACACGGCCCAAACUCCUACGGGAGGCAGCAGUAGGGAAUCUUCGGCAAUGGACGAAAGUCUGACCGAGCAACGCCGCGUGAGUGAAGAAGGUUUUCGGAUCGUAAAACUCUGUUGUUAGAGAAGAACAAGGAUGAGAGUAACUGUUCAUCCCUUGACGGUAUCUAACCAGAAAGCCACGGCUAACUACGUGCCAGCAGCCGCGGUAAUACGUAGGUGGCAAGCGUUGUCCGGAUUUAUUGGGCGUAAAGCGAGCGCAGGCGGUUUCUUAAGUCUGAUGUGAAAGCCCCCGGCUCAACCGGGGAGGGUCAUUGGAAACUGGGAGACUUGAGUGCAGAAGAGGAGAGUGGAAUUCCAUGUGUAGCGGUGAAAUGCGUAGAUAUAUGGAGGAACACCAGUGGCGAAGGCGGCUCUCUGGUCUGUAACUGACGCUGAGGCUCGAAAGCGUGGGGAGCAAACAGGAUUAGAUACCCUGGUAGUCCACGCCGUAAACGAUGAGUGCUAAGUGUUGGAGGGUUUCCGCCCUUCAGUGCUGCAGCUAACGCAUUAAGCACUCCGCCUGGGGAGUACGACCGCAAGGUUGAAACUCAAAGGAAUUGACGGGGGCCCGCACAAGCGGUGGAGCAUGUGGUUUAAUUCGAAGCAACGCGAAGAACCUUACCAGGUCUUGACAUCCUUUGACCACUCUAGAGAUAGAGCUUCCCCUUCGGGGGCAAAGUGACAGGUGGUGCAUGGUUGUCGUCAGCUCGUGUCGUGAGAUGUUGGGUUAAGUCCCGCAACGAGCGCAACCCUUAUUGUUAGUUGCCAUCAUUUAGUUGGGCACUCUAGCAAGACUGCCGGUGACAAACCGGAGGAAGGUGGGGAUGACGUCAAAUCAUCAUGCCCCUUAUGACCUGGGCUACACACGUGCUACAAUGGGAAGUACAACGAGUCGCAAAGUCGCGAGGCUAAGCUAAUCUCUUAAAGCUUCUCUCAGUUCGGAUUGUAGGCUGCAACUCGCCUACAUGAAGCCGGAAUCGCUAGUAAUCGCGGAUCAGCACGCCGCGGUGAAUACGUUCCCGGGCCUUGUACACACCGCCCGUCACACCACGAGAGUUUGUAACACCCGAAGUCGGUGAGGUAACCUUUUGGAGCCAGCCGCCUAAGGUGGGAUAGAUGAUUGGGGUGAAGUCGUAACAAGGUAGCCGUAUCGGAAGGUGCGGCUGGAUCACCUCCUUUCUAAGGAA